GUCGAACGGAACACCCUUGACAGAGGUUUCGGCCAAUGAAGAGGAAUGUUUAGUGGCGGACUGGUGAGUAACGCGUGAGGAACCUGCCUUUCAGAGGGGGACAACAGUUGGAAACGACUGCUAAUACCGCAUAACGCAUUUGGGUGGCAUCACUCGAAUGUCAAAGAUUUAUCGCUGAAAGAUGGCCUCGCGUCUGAUUAGAUAGUUGGUGGGGUAACGGCCUACCAAGUCGACGAUCAGUAGCCGGACUGAGAGGUUGACCGGCCACAUUGGGACUGA
rnacentral:rRNA from 1 species